GACGAACGCUGGCGGCGUGCCUAAUACAUGCAAGUUGAGCGAUGAAGAUUGGUGCUUGCACCAAUUUGAAGAGCGGCGAACGGGUGAGUAACGCGUGGGGAAUCUGCCUUUGAGCGGGGGACAACAUUUGGAAACGAAUGCUAAUACCGCAUAACAACUUUAAACAUAAGUUUUAAGUUUGAAAGAUGCAAUUGCAUCACUCAAAGAUGAUCCCGCGUUGUAUUAGCUAGUUGGUGAGGUAAAGGCUCACCAAGGCGAUGAUACAUAGCCGACCUGUGAGGGUGAUCGGCCACAUUGGGACUGAGACACGGCCCAAACUCCUACGGGAGGCAGCAGUAGGGAAUCUUCGGCAAUGGACGAAAGUCUGACCGAGCAACGCCGCGUGAGUGAAGAAGGUUUUCGGAUCGUAAAACUCUGUUGGUAGAGAAGAACGUUGGUGAGAGUGGAAAGCUCAUCAAGUGACGGUAACUACCCAGAAAGGGACGGCUAACUACGUG
rnacentral:rRNA from 1 species